ensembl:piRNA 21ur-15217 ncRNA
UAUUAUAAGAACUCAUAAAAA